rnacentral:lncRNA from 1 species
AAUUUAUUUAUUUUGGGCUUUUGUAAAACCGGGCCACCUUUUUCGUAUUUGCAAAUUCGGUCCGUUUUUUCCGCCGCCUGACCAAAAUGUCCCUCGUAUACAAUAGCCUCCCGCGUAUUUCUUGACAUACGUAUACUACCCUGCCGUACGGUCUGGCGCGCAUUAAAUGCGCCGCUUCCGCCUUACGCAACCUUGCUCAUUUCUCGGAACCCGGACCACAUCCGCCCCGCUAUUCGCCGGCCCCGCUGUUUGCUGUUGUGCUUUAAGACUUUAAUAAAUUUUCUGAAGCUAAAUUACAAAAACUGCACGCCUCGCAACAGGGAUAAUAGUGCAACGCGAAGGAACAACGUGAGGAGAAAUGGUGCAACCGCCCUUCUAACAGUGCAUCUCUAGGCUCGCUCCAGUGCAACCUCUCCAUAACAUGUCAAAAUUUUACUUUCUUUAUUUCUUAAUAUAAUCUGAAGUUAAAAGUGCAAAUGAACGGCGUCCCCUCCAAAUGCAGGCGAAGCGUCGGCGGCGCAGGACGGUCGGCUGCGGGGCAGGACGGUCCGCAAUGUGCGAGAUAACUGCUAAACGAUUGAAGAAGAUAAGCGUCGGCGUGGCAGGAAGCUUGGCUGCGGGGAGGACGGUCGCCGGCGGGUCCGAAGUUCGAGAGGUGUGACAUAACAGCUAAACGAUUGUGUAAAGUUUUCUCAUAAAAGCUCACGUGUUCUUUUAACUGUAUAAUAAGUCCAUAGUUAAACGCGAGUAAUAGUGCAAGAUAGUGUUAAUAACAGAACAAUAGUUUACAAAAAAGUGCAACGAAUCUUGUAAGAGUGCAAUACGGUGUUAAUAACAGUGCAAUAGAUUGAAUAAAGAGUGCAAAUAAGCUUGUAAGUGUGCAAUAUGGUGAUAAUACCAGUGCAAUGGUUUGAAAAAGAGUGGUACUAAGCUUGUA